UGGGGAAUCUUAGACAAUGGGGGAAACCCUGAUCUAGCCAUGCCGCGUGAGUGAUGAAGGCCCUAGGGUCGUAAAGCUCUUUCGCCAGGGAUGAUAAUGACAGUACCUGGUAAAGAAACCCCGGCUAACUCCGUGCCAGCAGCCGCGGUAAUACGGAGGGGGUUAGCGUUGUUCGGAAUUACUGGGCGUAAAGCGCACGUAGGCGGACUAUUAAGUCAGAGGUGAAAUCCCAGGGCUCAACCCUGGAACUGCCUUUGAUACUGGUAGUCUUGAGUUCGAGAGAGGUGAGUGGAAUUCCGAGUGUAGAGGUGAAAUUCGUAGAUAUUCGGAGGAACACCAGUGGCGAAGGCGGCUCACUGGCUCGAUACUGACGCUGAGGUGCGAAAGUGUGGGGAGCAAACAGGAUUAGAUACCCCCGUAGUCC
rnacentral:rRNA from 1 species